AAGAAGUCAGGCCGGAUUAAGCCAUAGUACGGUAAGAGCUAUGCUGCCUGUGAGCCCCGUCUAAGGACGUAAAAUGAAGUCAGGCCGAAAGCCACGGCUUGAGCAAACCGUGCUGCCUGUAGCUCCAUCGUGGGGAUGUAAAAACCUGGGAGGCUGCAACCCAUGGAAGCUGUACGCAUGGGGUAGCAG
rnacentral:lncRNA from 1 species